GAGGGUUACAGCUCUUUUAGAAUUUGUCUAGCAAGUUUUCUAAUCUCUACCAGAAGACCCCU
rnacentral:snRNA from 1 species